UACGUAGGGGGCUAGCGUUAUCCGGAUUUACUGGGCGUAAAGGGUGCGUAGGCGGUCUUUCAAGUCAGGAGUUAAAGGCUACGGCUCAACCGUAGUAAGCUCCUGAUACUGUCUGACUUGAGUGCAGGAGAGGAAAGCGGAAUUCCCAGUGAAGCGGUGAAAUGCGUAGAUAUUGGGAGGAACACCAGUAGCGAAGGCGGCUUUCUGGACUAUAACUGACGCUGAGGCACGAAAGCGUGGGGAGCAAACAG
rnacentral:rRNA from 1 species